UACAGAGGGUGCAAGCGUGUUCGGAUUUACUGGGCGUAAAGGGCGCGUAGGCGGUCAGCACAAGUCAGUUGUGAAAUCUCCGGGCUUAACUCGGAAAGGUCAACUGAUACUGUGCGACUAGAGUGCGGAAGGGGCAACUGGAAUUCUCGGUGUAGCGGUGAAAUGCGUAGAUAUCGAGAGGAACACCUGCGGCGAAGGCGGGUUGCUGGGCCGACACUGACGCUGAUGCGCGAAAGCCCAGGGGAGCGAACGGG
rnacentral:rRNA from 1 species